rnacentral:rRNA from 1 species
AUUGAACGCUGGCGGCAGGCCUAACACAUGCAAGUCGAACGAGUGGCGGACGGGUGAGUAAUGUCUGGGAAACUGCCUGAUGGAGGGGGAUAACUACUGGAAACGGUCGCUAAUACCGCAUACCAUCAGAUGUGCCGAGAGGGGAUUAGCUAGUGGGUGGGGUAACGGCUCACCAAGGAGAAGAUCCCUAGCUGGUCUGAGAGGAUGACCUGCGACGCUGGAACUGUGACUCGGUCCAGAAUCCUUCGGGAGGCAGCAGGGGGGAAUAUUGCAGAAUGGGUGAAAGCCUGAGGCAGCCAUGCCGCGUGUAGGAAGAGGUCCUUAGGGUUGUAAAGUACUUUCAGCUGGGAGGCGUUACCCUUAGAAGAAGCACCGGGUAAUUCUGAGCGAGCAGCCGCGGUAAUAC